rnacentral:rRNA from 1 species
GUAAAUGGCUGCAUAAAUCUGAUUGUACUAAGGUAGCGCUAUAAUUUGCCCUUUAAAUGGGGGCUGGUAUGAAUGGGUUCACGUGAGAGUUGCUGUGUCACAAAAAUUUUUCGAAAUUAACUUUCAGGUGAAGAGGCCUGACUAAGUUUAGAGGACGACAAGACCCUAGAAGCUUUACUGAGGGUAGGCUACGGGAUAGGUUAUUUCAGUUUUGUUGGGGCUACAAAGUUAGAAAAUAUAGCUUAUUUUCAUAUACUUACAGGUUAAAGCCACAUUGGUGAAUAAGAUAAGCUACUCUAGGGAUAACAGCGUUAUUUUUUUUAAUAGUACGUAUUGUAAAAAAAGUUUGCGACCUCGAUGUUGGACUAAGGUAUCCUUAAGGUGCAGAAGUCUUAGAGGGUUGGCCUGUUCGUCCAUUAAAACCUUACA